GCAGAUUGUUCGGCACGAAGUGUUUGGGCUUAUUCGAAAGGCAAUCUUGUGAAAAUUGUACAUCGAUUUCCUUAUUCCGCCAUCAGCUUCUAUUCAUAUGAGCGAUACAAAACGUUCAGCACUCACUAUUGGAAAUUUUGUAUACACCGGGUGUGAUGGUCUUCGCCGAGAGCCAAACCAUGGGCAGUCGGCAAAGUAAGAGACGCCGAGCGUCACUCUCGGUUAAGGGAGCUCGGCAAACACAUGUUAAUGCCAUGAGUAGGCCUCGGCAAAAAGGUUACACUCGGCAAAGGAACUAUUUGCCAAGGGCCAAGUGGCCACCACACGGCAAAGUUUUGCCACGUGGAAGGCUGCAAGAUGAAGAUGAAAAAAGUUCCGGCGUGAAGUGUUUUUGCGCCACACUCCUAUGGAAAAAAAAGUUCAGCAUGUAUACGAAAAAAAAUAUCAUCAUGUAUUCAGAAAAGUGUUCAUCAUGUACUUGAAAAGGUGUUCAACAGAUAUUUGAAAAAGUGUUCAACACAUAUUUGAUAAAUGUUCAUCUUCUAUUUGAGAAAGUGUUCAACACAUAUUUGAUGUUCAUCAUGUGCUUCAAAAAUGUUUACCGCGUAUUUCAAAACGUGUGCAUAAGAACCAAACAAACUACACGCCUUUGAUAUAGUAGUAAUACGUUCGUACCUGAACCCCGUGACAUGGCAAGCCACCCAAUCCC
rnacentral:lncRNA from 1 species